GAUGAACGCUGGCGGCGUGCCUAAUGCAUGCAAGUCGAGCGAACGGACGAGAAGCUUGCUUCUCUGAUGUUAGCGGCGGACGGGUGAGUAACACGUGGAUAACCUACCUAUAAGACUGGGAUAACUUCGGGAAACCGGAGCUAAUACCGGAUAAUAUUUUGAACCGCAUGGUUCAAAAGUGAAAGACGGUCUUGCUGUCACUUAUAGAUGGAUCCGCGCUGCAUUAGCUAGUUGGUAAGGUAACGGCUUACCAAGGCAACGAUGCAUAGCCGACCUGAGAGGGUGAUCGGCCACACUGGAACUGAGACACGGUCCAGACUCCUACGGGAGGCAGCAGUAGGGAAUCUUCCGCAAUGGGCGAAAGCCUGGCGGAGCAACGCCGCGUGAGUGAUGAAGGUCUUCGGAUCGUAAAACUCUGUUAUUAGGGAAGAACAUAUGUGUAAGUAACUGUGCACAUCUUGACGGUACCUAAUCAGAAAGCCACGGCUAACUACGUG
rnacentral:rRNA from 1 species